CGGAGCUUUUAUUUGCUGGGUUGUACAAUGGAUGGCUGUGAUGAAUUAUUUGAAAAGACACAAUACUUUCGGCCAAAUUGUCUUAAAAUUGAAAAUGAUGCUUUUUCUCAAAAAGGCUUAGUGGAUAGCGAUGUUCAUAGUUCUAGAGAACAUUUGUCUAAACUUAAAUUUAAUUUUAUUGAACAUCAAACGAA